rnacentral:rRNA from 1 species
UGGGGAAUAUUGCACAAUGGGCGAAAGCCUGAUGCAGCGACGCCGCGUGAGGGAUGACGGCCUUCGGAUUGUAAACCUCUUUCAGUAGGGACGAAGCGCAAGUGACGGUACCUGCAGAAGAAGCACCGGCUAACUACGUGCCAGCAGCCGCGGUAAUACGUAGGGUGCGAGCGUUGUCCGGAAUUACUGGGCGUAAAGAGCUCGUAGGCGGUUUGUCACGUCGUCUGUGAAAUCCUAGGGCUUAACCCUGGACGUGCAGGCGAUACGGGCUGACUUGAGUACUACAGGGGAGACUGGAAUUUCUGGUGUAGCGGUGGAAUGCACAGAUAUCAGGAAGAACACCGAUGGCGAAGGCAGGUCUCUGGGUAGUAACUGACGCUGAGGAGCGAAAGCAUGGGUAGCGAACAGG